rnacentral:rRNA from 1 species
AUUGAACGCUGGCGGCAUGCCUUACACAUGCAAGUCGAACGGCAGCGGGCCUUCGGUGCCGGCGAGUGGCGAACGGGUGAGUAAUGCAUCGGAACGUGCCAUUGAGUGGGGGAUAACGUAGCGAAAGUUGCGCUAAUACCGCAUAUUCUGUGAGCAGGAAAGCAGGGGACCGCAAGGCCUUGCGCUCUUUGAGCGGCCGAUGUCAGAUUAGCUAGUUGGUGAGGUAAAGGCUUACCAAGGCGACGAUCUGUAGCGGGUCUGAGAGGAUGAUCCGCCACACUGGAACUGAGACACGGUCCAGACUCCUACGGGAGGCAGCAGUGGGGAAUUUUGGACAAUGGGGGCAACCCUGAUCCAGCCAUGCCGCGUGAGUGAAGAAGGCCUGUU